rnacentral:misc_RNA from 1 species
CCGAGUUUACAACUCCCAAACCCCUGUGAACAUACCUAGUACGUUGCCUCGGCGGAUCAGCCCUCGCUCUCGUAGGGACGGCCCGCCCGAGGACCCCUAAAACUCUUGAUUUGAUCUAGGAUACUUCUGAGUGAUAUACAACAAUAAAUCA